GGUUAAUUGAAGAUGUGCAAGCAUCGGAUCGAAGCCCCAGUAAACGGCGGCCGUAACAAUAACGGUCCUAAGGUAGCGAAAUUCCUUGUCGGGUAAGUUCCGACCUGCACGAAUGGCGUAAUGAUGGCCAGGCUGUCUCCACCCGAGACUCAGUGAAAUUGAAAUCGCUGUGAAGAUGCAGUGUAUCCGCGGCUAGACGGAAAGACCCCGUGAACCUUUACUAUAGCUUUGCACUGGACUUUGAAUUUGCUUGUGUAGGAUAGGUGGGAGGCUUUGAAGUGUGGACGCCAGUCUGCAUGGAGCCAACCUUGAAAUACCACCCUUUAAUGUUUGAUGUUCUAACGUAGACCCGUAAUCCGGGUUGCGGACAGUGUCUGGUGGGUAGUUUGACUGGGGCGGUCUCCUCCCAAAGAGUAACGGAGGAGUUCGAAGGUUACCUAGGUCCGGUCGGAAAUCGGACUGAUAGUGCAAUGGCAAAAGGUAGCUUAACUGCGAGACCGACAAGUCGAGCAGGUGCGAAAGCAGGACAUAGUGAUCCGGUGGUUCUGUAUGGAAGGGCCAUCGCUCAACGGAUAAAAGGUACUCCGGGGAUAACAGGCUGAUACCGCCCAAGAGUUCAUAUCGACGGCGGUGUUUGGCACCUCGAUGUCGGCUCAUCACAUCCUGGGGCUGAAG
rnacentral:rRNA from 1 species